rnacentral:rRNA from 1 species
AACGAACGCUGGCGGCAUGCCUAACACAUGCAAGUCGAACGAGACCUUCGGGUCUAGUGGCGCACGGGUGCGUAACGCGUGGGAACCUGCCCUUAGGUUCGGAAUAACUCCCCGAAAGGGGUGCUAAUACCGGAUAAUGUCUUCGGACCAAAGAUUUAUCGCCUUUGGAUGGGCCCGCGUUGGAUUAGCUAGUUGGUAGGGUAAAAGCCUACCAAGGCGACGAUCCAUAGCUGGUCUGAGAGGAUGAUCAGCCACACUGGGACUGAGACAGGGCCCAGACCCCGAGGGGGGGCAGCAGGGGGGAAAUUUGGAAAUGGGGCGAAAGCCUGAUCCAGCAGUGCCCGGUAAGUGAUGAAGGCUUUGGGGUUGUAAAGCUCUUUUACCCGGGAUGAAAAGGACAGUACCGGGAAAAAAAGCCCCGGCAACCCCCGU